rnacentral:lncRNA from 1 species
AGAAAACAAGAGACUUGUCAUCUAUUUUCUUCAGAACAGUGAAUUGCUCUUGGAAUGUGCUGUCAAAAGUGCCCAUCCCAGGUGUAGCAGAUGGAGUUCGUUUGCUUCAGAUUACUCUUUACAGCUGCCUGUGUGUGUCCAUAAGCCUCUGGAAAAUUGUGGUUUUGCCAUAUGCAGCUUGAACUCAGAGAACUUUACUCAGGUGGCCUGUCUUAACACUUGGUAUAAAUUGUCUGAUGCCCUGAACAAAUUGGCUAUUGCAUGAGACUUCAGUCUGCCUCAUUUUUAGUCCCCUCUCUCCCAAGUUCCACCACCAACAAGAGUGGUAAAGACAGCGCCUCAUAAAAUGGUAUAUGCCGACCAUCCCAGCGCUCGAGGGCGAGUGAAGGCCGGAGGAUCAGAAGUGCCCACUCUUCUUGGGCCACAUAGUGAAUUCAAGGCCAGCCAGGGCUCCGAGAGACCCAAGAGCCGGUUUCAAAACAAAACAAAAAACCCAAAUUAUUGGGGACUGGAGAGGUUGCUCAAUGUUUAAGAGCACUGGCUGCUCUUCCAGAGGAUUAGGGUUUGAUUCCCAGGACCCACUUGGUGCCUCACAACUGUCUGUAAUCCCAUUUCUAGGGGAUCUGAUACCCUCUUCUGGCCUCCACAGGCACCAGGCAUUCACACGUUGUGCAAAACAGCCCUACACAUAAAUAAAAAUGGAUAUUAAAAAUAACAAAUAAUGCUGGGCAGUGGUGGUGCACACCUUUAAUCCCAGGACCCAGGAGGUAGAGUCAGGCAGAUCUUUGUGAGCUAGAGGCCAGCCUGGUCUACAAAGCAACACAGAGAAACUGUGUCUCGGAAAAACCAAAAACCAAAUAAUUAGUCAAGGAGAUCACAAAAAUCCUUCAAACAUAUGAGCUAUUGUAGCCAUUGCUCUUGGUUUCCCACAAUAAUUGGCUGGUAACUCUUGCUAAAGACACCACACAUUUUGCUUCCAGAACACUGAUCAAGCUGGAACUGAGCUGAAAGGGGCUGUGCGGGCUGCUGUGGAGACAGCCAUCGAUGACACUGGCAGCACUGGACUCUUCGUACCCCAAUAGCAGCUUCAGGCAACAUGUGCCCGAGAUGUGACUAUAGUGUGAGGGCUACAGAGUAACCCCUUCCUGAUUAGAUUUAAGGUGUGCUCCACAGGACAGGGUAACCCCUUCCUGAUUAGAUUUAAGGUGUGCUCCACAGGACAGGGUAACCCCUUCCUGAUUAGAUUUAAGGUGUGCUCCACAGGACAGGGUAACCACUUCCUGAUUAGAUUUAAGGUUGUGCUCCACAGGAGAGAAUUCAUCCCUGGUACUGUAAACCUGUCAAGAUCCCAUGGCUUAGGACAGUGGCUCUCAACCUUUCAAUACAAUUCCUCCUGUUGUGGUGACCCCAGCCAUAAAAUUAUGUCAUUGCUACUUCAUUACUGUGAUUUUACUACUGUUAUGAAUGACAAUGUAGAUAGUCUGUUAUGCUACUCCCAGGAAACAAUCCCAAGGGUUGAGAACCACUGGCUUAUGAGUUCCUAGGUCCUGGGAAGAACAUAAAUGCUAAAUGGACUUUGUGGUGAUAUUUAUGAUCUAACAAAGCCCGUUAGUGUGAUCAGACUGCAAAGCUAGCCACACUAGGUGGCGCACACCUUUAAUCUCAGUGUUCGGGAGACAGAGACAGAUCUCUGUGAGUUCAAGGCCACCCUGAGCUACACGAACCUGAUCCAGCCUAAAAGAGAAACAGCUCACACAAAGAUGAGGUCAGCACUUGGAAUCCCAUGCCUUUAAUCCCAGCACUAGGGAGGGGGAUGUAAAUGGGAGGAGACAUGGCUCAGAGCAGUCUGAGGACAGGAUCCCACUUUCCAUCUGAGCCCUGGGAGAGGUGAGAACUCAAGCGACUGGCCACUUUGCUUCUCUGAUCUUCAACUUUAACCCCAACUAGAAUUCGUGCUACAGGACUUACCAGACGUUAUGUUUCUCUGAUAGCUUAGUGCUGCUUUCAACCUUAGCCAGAGGUUGCUGUCUGCUGUGAGCCUCAGUGCAGACUCAUUGGUCAAAGUGCUGAGCAUACGUGACUGCUAAGGACUCAGCCCUAAGUAGGACCUCUCUAUCAACACCCCCAGGUCGGGAAAUAUGAGAGAGGGAGCAGAAAGAGAGGAAGAGCUGGCGGAUGGGAGAGUGCUUGUGUCUGUCGACACAAGACAUAGCGGUUGCAGUCAUGGACAAAACCCCCCACAAGGUCAAGCCCAAAAGAUGAGUUAACAUUCUAGCCAGCAGCACUAAGUAAACUCAGUGGGCUGCCAAAAGGGGGGGGGACAUGUUAAAGGGUGUCAGAGGAAGUAGGAGGGAGAAUCUGGGGUGGCUAAGAUCAAGAUAGGCUGAAUACACAGAUGAAGUUGUCACAGAACAGAAAAAAGCAGCCAGUUGUGUCACUCAGUGGUGACAUGAAGCUCGUGCUUGACCUAUGCAAGGUGCUGGCUGGGUCUCUAGCAUGAAAAGCAUAAAGGACACGGCUGGCUCAGCAAGUAGGAACACAUGCUGCUCUUGCAGAAGACAUGGGUUCAGUUGUCAGCAUCCACGUAGUGGCUCACAACCAUCUAACUCUAGUCGCAGAGACUCUUGGCACCUCUUCUGGCAUCAGUGACACUGUGGUAUGCCGAGACACGGGAAAACAUCAUACA